GGUGAGUCGUGGCCGACGGCAGGGGUAAAACGGGGGGGGCAAACGGUGAGAGGAUACAGUGGGUGGAGAGCGGACGGAGGGGGGCGGUUAGGUCGGAGGGGAAAGCAUCGGUCUUAACCCGGGAAGGGCAGCCGAAACUGGUGGGCUGGAGUACGGAAGAGGGGCUCGGAAUUCCCGGGGUAGAGGUGAAAGUCGUAGAUAUCGGGAGGAACACCAGUGGCGAAGGCGGAGACCUGGGCCGAUACUGACGCUGAGGUGCGAAAGCGUGGGGAGCAAACAGGAUUAGAUACCCCGGUAGUC
rnacentral:rRNA from 1 species